UACGUAGGGUGCGAGCGUUGUUCCGGAAUUAGUUGGGCGUAAAGGGCUCGUAGGCGGUUUGUCGCGUCGGGAAGUGAAAACCCAGGGCUUAACCCUCGGGCCUGCUUCCGAUACGGGCAGACUAGAGGUAUGCAGGGGGAGAACGGAAUUCCUGGUGUAGCGGUGAAAUGGCGCAGAGUAUCAGGAGGAACACCGGUGGCGAAGCGGUUCUCUGGGCAUUACCUGACGCUGAGGAGCGAAAGUGUGGGGAGCGAACAGG
rnacentral:rRNA from 1 species